GAGUUUGAUCGUGGCUCAGAUUGAACGCUGGCGGCAUGCCUUACACAUGCAAGUCGAACGGCAGCAUGAUCUAGCUUGCUAGAUUGAUGGCGAGUGGCGAACGGGUGAGUAAUACAUCGGAACGUGCCCUGUAGUGGGGGAUAACUAGUCGAAAGAUUAGCUAAUACCGCAUACGACCUGAGGGUGAAAGUGGGGGACCGCAAGGCCUCAUGCUAUAGGGGCGGCCGAUGUCUGAUUAGCUAGUUGGUGGGGUAAAGGCCCGACCAAGGCGACGAUCAGUAGCUGGUCUGAGAGGACGAUCAGCCACACUGGGACUGAGACACGGCCCAGACUCCUACGGGAGGCAGCAGUGGGGAAUUUUGGACAAUGGGCGAAAGCCUGAUCCAGCAAUGCCGCGUGUGUGAAGAAGGCC
rnacentral:rRNA from 1 species